UAUAUGAUAAGCAAGCUAUGACAUGGUGUUGAUAGUCUUGAUGCCAUGGCACUUACUUGUCUGCAUAAGUGUAGCUAGGGUACAUGUUCUUCAUGAUUGCCAGCAAAUCCUUUAGGUCCAUUUGGUCCAGUGAGCAUAUGUAUCUCUCAGAUGGCCCUGCCUUGUUGUACAACAGGAGCAAUGCGUCGGCAACAUCGCGAACGUCUACGAUGGGAAAGAACUUGUUGUUCAUCGUGUCAGGGCCUCCUGCGAUCGGACAUAUGAUGGAACUACAUUAGGCACAAGGAUGUGUAUUUUAAAAGGUCAUUCUCUGAACUUCAUUAAAACCGGGGGUGUCUUAUUACACUAUUAAUAUAAAAGCCGAGGAGCUCCUCCGGUGUCAAUUUUUGUUCUGAACUUCAUCGCUCUGCUGCACUUCGACAACAAAAACAGCAAAAUGGAAGGAAAACAACCGGCUUUGGUUACCAAAAGUACUAACCUCUAACCACAUGUGAUGUGCAAUGUACAAAAUGAUUAUGUAUCCUUGUGAUAGAUGAGCUGAGGAGUGGAACCUUUUAUCAUGUAGACGAGGACCUUGCUGCUGGUAUUGACCGCCACAUGCUGCAACAGAGGGCCGAAGACCAGACCAGGGCAAAGUGCGACGACGUGCAGCUCGUUCUUCUCUCCGUAUUCCAGGGCCGAAGACCGGACUAUCCAGACGGUUAAAUUUUGUGGAGCUUGCUUAAUGUCCUAACAUGCUCGGAUGUAUGAGGAAUAAGAUUUUACCUUGGAUAUGACCAUUUGUGUGAUUUAUUUGUAUGUAUUGUAGCCUGGGGGGACUAUCCAGACGGUUAAAUUUUGUGGAGCUUGCUUAAUGUCCUAACAUGCUCGGAUGUAUGAGGAAUAAAAUUUGACGUUGGAUAUGACCAUUUGUGUGAUUUAUUUGUAUGCAUUGUAGCCCGUAGCAACGCACGGGUGUACUACUAGUGUUCAUAACUCUGCAGUCACUACUUUUAGAGUACUCCUCCAGAGUCCGCUUUCUCUUGACGGAAGUGAGCACGAAUGCACAAUUUUUACAUUUGCAUCCAUCCUGAAUGGACUAGUGGAGGAGUCGAGAAAUAGAGACCUAACCCGUGCUUAUUUUUGCAAAACACAUUUCAUGAUGUUUCAGGCCAAAUGCAGAAUCAAUGGCACAAUUAUGGGAUCAUUCUCAUUCCUGGAUAGGCGGCAUUCGGUAGAUGAAUGGAAGCCGGCAUGGUUCGUCGUCUGUAACCCCAAGAAGCCCUGCUUUUUCAUAGGACUCGAUACAAUCCACGAGUGUCUCCUCCAUCUUCCUUGGUUUCCACCCUAAAUUGUUCAGCUUGUCCGAAGUGACUCCGACGUUAAAGUCCACAUCAACCAUCCUGCCAACCCAAAAUUUCGUAAUGAAAAUCCUUCGUAGUAUAUGAUAAGCAAGCUAUGACAUGGUGUUGAUAGUCUUGAUGCCAUGGCACUUACUUGUCUGCAUAAGUGUAGCUAGGGUACAUGUUCUUCAUGAUUGCCAGCAAAUCCUUUAGGUCCAUUUGGUCCAGUGAGCAUAUGUAUCUCUCAGAUGGCCCUGCCUUGUUGUACAACAGGAGCAAUGCGUCGGCAACAUCGCGAACGUCUACGAUGGGAAAGAACUUGUCGUUCAUCGUGUCAGGGCCUCCUGCGAUCGGACAUAUGAUGGAACUACAUUAGGCACAAGGAUGUGUAUUUUAAAAGGUCAUUCUCUGAACUUCAUUAAAACCGGGGGUGUUUUAUUACACUAUUAAUAUAAAAGCCGAGGAGCUCCUCCGGUGUCAAUUUUUGUUCUGAACUUCAUCGCUCUGCUGCACUUCGACAACAAAAACAGCAAAAUGGAAGGAAAACAACCGGCUUUGGUUACCAAAAGUACUAACCUCUAACCACAUGUGAUGUGCAAUGUACAAAAUGAUUAUGUAUCCUUGUGAUAGAUGAGCUGAGGAGUGGAACCUUUUAUCAUGUAGACGAGGACCUUGCUGCUGGUAUUGACCGCCACAUGCUGCAACAGAGGGCCGAAGACCAGACCAGGGCAAAGUGCGACGACGUGCAGCUCGUUCUUCUCUCCGUAUUCCAGGGCCGAAGACCGGACUAUCCAGACGGUUAAAUUUUGUGGAGCUUGCUUAAUGUCCUAACAUGCUCGGAUGUAUGAGGAAUAAGAUUUUACCUUGGAUAUGACCAUUUGUGUGAUUUAUUUGUAUGUAUUGUAGCCUGGGGGGACUAUCCAGACGGUUAAAUUUUGUGGAGCUUGCUUAAUGUCCUAACAUGCUCGGAUGUAUGAGGAAUAAAAUUUGACGUUGGAUAUGACCAUUUGUGUGAUUUAUUUGUAUGCAUUGUAGCCCGUAGCAACGCACGGGUGUACUACUAGUGUUCAUAACUCUGCAGUCACUACUUUUAGAGUACUCCUCCAGAGUCCGCUUUCUCUUGACGGAAGUGAGCACGAAUGCACAAUUUUUACAUUUGCAUCCAUCCUGAAUGGACUAGUGGAGGAGUCGAGAAAUAGAGACCUAACCCGUGCUUAUUUUUGCAAAACACAUUUCAUGAUGUUUCAGGCCAAAUGCAGAAUCAAUGGCACAAUUAUGGGAUCAUUCUCAUUCCUGGAUAGGCGGCAUUCGGUAGAUGAAUGGAAGCCGACAUGGUUCGUCGUCUGUAACCCCAAGAAGCCCUGCUUUUUCGUAGGACUCGAUACAAUCCACGAGUGUCUCCUCCAUCUUCCUUGGUUUCCACCCUAAAUUCUUCAGCUUGUCCGAAGUGACUCCGACGUUAAAGUCCACAUCAACCAUCCUGCCAACCCAAAAUUUUGUAAUGAAAAUCCUUCGUAGUAUAUGAUAAGCAAGUUAUGACAUGGUGUUGAUAGUCUUGAUGCCAUGGCACUUACUUGUCUGCAUAAGUGUAGCUAGGGUACAUGUUCUUCAUGAUUGCCAGCAAAUCCUUUAGGUCCAUUUGGUCCAGUGAGCAUAUGUAUCUCUCAGAUGGCCCUGCCUUGUUGUACAACAGGAGCAAUGCGUCGGUAACAUCGCGAACGUCUACGAUGGGAAAGAACUUGUUGUUCAUCGUGUCAGGGCCUCCUGCUAUCGGACAUAUGAUGGAACUACAUUAGGCACAAGGAUCUGUAUUUUAAAAGGUCAUUCUCUGAACUUCAUUAAAACCGGGGGUGUCUUAUUACACUAUUAAUAUAAAAGCCGAGGAGCUCCUCCGGCGUCAAUUUUUGUUCUGAACUUCAUCGCUCUGCUGCACUUCGACAACAAAAACAGCAAAAUGGAAGGAAAACAACCGGCUUUGGUUUCCAAAAGUACUAACCUCUAACCACAUGUGAUGUGCAAUGUACAAAAUGAUUAU
rnacentral:lncRNA from 1 species